CCUUACCUACCCUUGACAUGUCUGGAAUCCCGAAGAGAUUUGGGAGUGCUCGCAAGAGAACCGGAACACAGGUGCUGCAUGGCUGUCGUCAGCUCGUGUCGUGAGAUGUUGGGUUAAGUCCCGCAACGAGCGCAACCCUUGUCAUUAGUUGCUACGAAAGGGCACUCUAAUGAGACUGCCGGUGACAAACCGGAGGAAGGUGGGGAUGACGUCAAGUCCUCAUGGCCCUUAUGGGUAGGGCUUCACACGUCAUACAAUGGUCGGGACAGAGGGUUGCCAACCCGCGAGGGGGAGCCAAUCUCAGAAACCCGAUCGUAGUCCGGAUUGCAGUCUGCAACUCGACUGCAUGAAGUCGGAAUCGCUAGUAAUCGCGGAUCAGCAUGUCGCGGUGAAUACGUUCCCGGGUCUUGUACACACCGCCCGUCACACCAUGGGAGUGGGUUUUACCAGAAGUAGUUAGCCUAACCGCAAGGGGGGCGAUUACCACGGUAGGAUUCAUGACUGGGGUGAAGUCGUAACAAGGUAAGCGUAGUGCU
rnacentral:rRNA from 1 species